rnacentral:rRNA from 1 species
CUGGCGGCGUGGCUAGACAUGCAAGUCGAACGGAUCAUAGUAGCAAUACUAUGGUUAGUGGCGGAUGGAUGAGUAAUGCAUAAAUAACGUACCCCAAUCUUCGGGAUAACUGCGGGUUUACCCUUUAGCGAAAGUGCAGAUAAUACCGGAUAAUAUACCGAGGUCGAAUGGCCAUGGUAUCAAAGAAUUUUGGUUUGGGAGCGGUUUAUGUCGUAUCAGUUAGUUGGUGGGGUAAUGGCCUACCAAGACUUUGACGCAUAGCGGGACUGAGAGGUCGGCCCGCCAUAUCGGGACUGAGACACUGCCCGGACCUCCACGGAGGGCUGCAGUAACGAAUAUUGCGCAAUGGCCGAAAGGCUGACGCAGCGACGCCGCGUGUAGGAUGAAGCUCCUCGGGGUGUAAACUACUGUCGUGGUGAAGAAAGAUCUGAUCGAUCCAGAAGGAAGGACCGGCUAAAUUCGUGCCAGCAGCCGCGGUAAUACGAAUGGUCCAAGCGUUGUUCGGAAUCACUGGGCUUAAAGCGCACGUAGGUGGAUUAUUAAGUGUCUCGUGAAAUCCCACGGCUUAACUGUGGAACUGCGGGGCAUACUGGUAAUCUUGAGGCAAGUAGGAGUACAUGGAACUCUGAGUGGAGCGGUGAAAUGCGUAGAUAUUCAGAGGAACGCCAGAGGUGAAAACGGUGUACUGGGCUUGUUCUGACACUGAGGUGCGAAAGCGUGGGUAGCAAACAGGAUUAGAUACCCUGGUAGUCCACGCUGUAAACGAUGCAUACUAGACUAUGGGAACUCUGACGUUUUCGUAGUCGUAGCAAAAGUAUUAAGUAUGCCGCCUGGGGAGUACGGUCGCAAGGCUAAAACUCAAAGGAAUUGACGGGGGCUCACACAAGCAGUGGAGCAUGUGGCUUAAUUCGAAGCAACGCGAAGAACCUUAUCCUGGAUUUGACUAUUAUGGAUGCCCUCCGUGAAAGCGGAGUAAGCUGCCUUCGGGUGAAACAUAAACAGGUGCUGCAUGGCUGUCGUCAGCUCGUGUCGUGAGAUGUCGGGUUAAGUCCCUUAACGGGCGAAACCCUUAUCGUUAGUUGCCAACACGUUAUGGUGGGAACUCUAGCGAGACUGCCGGUGUUAAACCGGAGGAAGGUGGGGAUGACGCCAAGUCCUCAUGGCCUUUAUGUCCAGGGCUGCACACGUGCUACAAUGCCGCGUACAAACCGACGCGAUACCGCGAGGUGGAGCAAAUCGGAGAAAGCGCGGCCCAGUUCGGAUUGAAGUCUGCAACUCGACUUCAUGAAGUUGGAAUUGCUAGUAAUCGCGGAUCAGCAUGCCGCGGUGAAUAUGUUCCUGAGCCUUGUACACACCGCCCGUCACACCAUGGGAGUUGAUUUCAUUCGAAGCGGGGAUGCUAA